rnacentral:pre_miRNA from 1 species
CUUUUAGUAUAAGUAUGUUCCAUACAAUAUUUGGAACGUAUUUACACUAAAA